GCAACGCCGCGUGAGGGAUGAAGGCCUUCGGGUUGUAAACCUCUUUUCUCAGGGAAGAUAAUGACGGUACCUGAGGAAUAAGCACCGGCUAACUACGUGCCAGCAGCCGCGGUAAUACGUAGGGUGCAAGCGUUAAUCGGAAUUACUGGGCGUAAAGGGUACGCAGGCGGCUAGGAAAGAAGGAUGUGAAAUCCCAGGGCUCAACCUUGGAACUGCAUUCUUAACUGCCUAGCUAGAGUAUGUCAGAGGGGGGUAGAAUUCCACGUGUAGCAGUGAAAUGCGUAGAUAUGUGGAGGAAUACCGAUGGCGAAGGCAGCCCCCUGGGAUAAUACUGACGCUCAGGUACGAAAGCGUGGGGAGCAAACAGGAUUAGAUACCCUGGUAGUCCACGCCGUAAACGAUGAUGACUAGCUGUCGGGGCUCAUGGAGUCUCGGUGGCGCAGCUAACGCGUUAAGUCAUCCGCCUGGGGAGUACGGCCGCAAGGUUAAAACUCAAAGGAAUUGACGGA
rnacentral:rRNA from 1 species